rnacentral:rRNA from 1 species
UACGGGGGGAGCAAGCGUUGUUCGGAUUUACUGGGCGUAAAGGGCGCGUAGGUGGUCACUACAAGUCAGUUGUGAAAUCUCUGGGCUUAACUCAGAACGGUCAACUGAUACUGUCGGACUAGAGUGCAGAAGGGGCAACUGGAAUUCUCGGUGUAGCGGUGAAAUGCGUAGAUAUCGAGAGGAACACCUGCGGCGAAGGCGGGUUGCUGGGCUGACACUGACGCUGAGGCGCGAAAGCUAGGGGAGCGAACGGG